CACUCCUGCGGGAGGCAGCAGUGGGGAAUAUUGGACAAUGGGCGCAAGCCUGAUCCAGCCAUGCCGCGUGAGUGAUGAAGGCCCUAGGGUUGUAAAGCUCUUUCACCGGUGAAGAUAAUGACGGUAACCGGAGAAGAAGCCCCGACUAACUUCGUGCCAGCAGCCGCGGUAAUACGAAGGGGGCCAGCGUUGUUCGGAUUUACUGGGCGUAAAGCGCACGUAGGCGGACUAUUAAGUCAGGGGUGAAAUCCCGGGGCUCAACCCCGGAACUGCCUUUGAUACUGGUAGUCUUGAGUUCGAGAGAGGUGAGUGGAAUUCCGAGUGUAGAGGUGAAAUUCGUAGAUAUUCGGAGGAACACCAGUGGCGAAGGCGGCUCACUGGCUCGAUACUGACGCUGAGGUGCGAAAGCGUGGGGAGCAAACAGGAUUAGAUACCCCAGUAGUCCCA
rnacentral:rRNA from 1 species